AUAUCUCUUAUGGUAGUGGUGAGAAUAUUGUUCAGGCUGAUUCUGUGGCAAAAUUACGUUAUGAUUCAUAUGAUAUGGUUAAUAUUUUGGCACACACCACUGAUGUCCCUGUAUCUUCAGAACAGCUUAACUAUAUAAGAAAGUUAAUGAAGAAACGCAAGGAACAAAAUGAAGUGAGCAGAGCAGCACCAAAUGAUGGGCAAAAUGUGGAAGAAGUAGGCUUACAUGAUAUGAUCACAGAAGAAAUGUGCUUACACAAGAAGGUUGCUAGAGUAUCUUGGUUUUCUGCUGCCAGUCACAAAGCACA
rnacentral:misc_RNA from 1 species